GGACAAUGUUUGUGUCUGUGAGAUUAAUAAUUACUCACAUGAUACUUUAAACUGGAGAAGGACAGGUGAUUUGACAGGAUUACCCAUUAAAUGUGAAUAACGAAGACCAGUCUUCCUAUACACCAACACAUAUACACUUGAUGGGGUCAACUGUAUACACUUCUUACAAAUUUUCUUGAGGCAGUUUUAGAUUUUCAUACAGAUUCAUGCAAAUAUUUCUGUAUCUUAAAUCAUUUGUCCUAUCACCUUCAAGCAGUGUUGUUAAAAGUGGAGUUAGGAGAUCCAGUUGUAAUCUGGUGCAUUCUGUUGUCCUAUCAUUUUAUGUUGUGAAAGAGAGCUUGGCCGAAAACCAAACAGCGAAGGAGUGAACUGGAUUGGUCCACGUCAGUCACAUGACAGUGACUUUGUCUUCUCUGUGAUCGAGAGCCAAGUUCUCAUAGGCACCCUCGUGCUCAGCACUCCUGUUACGCACGCAGACACACACACACACACACACAAACAAACAACCACUGUGAUUACAAAAUGAAAUGGUUCAGAUAAGCACAGUAGUAAACUAUAUUGGUCUUAAUAAAAAACAAUAUGGUCAAACCAAUACAGUAGUUGUAUUAUACUGCACUAUCUUUUAAUAUAAGGUUGUAAUUAAGGAUGUUAUCAGGUUGUACGGUAAUGGCUACCCCAUUCUAUCUUAUCAGGACAUUCAUUUAUUCCAGACAGGACUGGCAGCUUAGCUUACCUGAGCACGUUGAGAGAGGUGUCAUAGGUCGCUCCGUUCGUCGUUGCGUGGUCUUCCACCAUCACCGGCUCCGCUCUCAUCUCUUUGCUUCACAGGUCAAUCCUUCAGGUCAUCUGUGACGAGCUGUUACUAAACAGGUCUCAGACCAGAGAAAGGAAGAAAAAGAGAUCCUCUACUACCUGCGGUCGCACCAGGCCUUGUUGACGAGGAACGUCACGAAAACAAGGAAGAGGAAGCCAGCCACGGCGAUGAAGCCCGUCAGCCACUGUGGCAGCGCCCGGCCCUCAGCUUAGCGUCAGGAUGGAGGAGAGACCGUUGCAGAAACAGUCAUAUGGAGGUCUUCUACCAGUUAUCUACCAGUUAUCUAACUGCUGCUCUCUGAAGGUAUAACAUCAUUUUUGAUCAAUAUUAUUGUUUCUGGC